rnacentral:misc_RNA from 1 species
AGGUGGGGCUGAUGACUGGGGUGAAGUCGUAACAAGGUAUCCGUACCGGAAGGUGCGGAUGGAUCACCUCCUAACAGGGAGACAACACAAUGAUUUUGAUGCCUGAGUGCUUUUAUUCUUAGGUCAAAAUCCUGUCACCUUAGGUCGAUCGGUACCUCAGCUUUGAAGUCAAGGAUCAGCAGCAAUGUUGAUUGCUUGAUGGAGAUUUUCAGUUCCUAAACUUUGUCUAGGUCACACCCCAAAAGGGAUGAGACUCCUGGGCCAUUAGCUCAGGUGGUUAGAGCGCACCCCUGAUAAGGGUGAGGUCCCUGGUUCAAGUCCAGGAUGGCCCAUUCGGUGUUGGGGGUUUAGCUCAGUUGGUAGAGCGCCUGCUUUGCAAGCAGGAUGUCAGGAGUUCGAGUCUCCUAACCUCCACUGACCGAACUUGAUUCCCAUCUCCAACUCUUUUGGAGUUGAGCUCGAUUGGAGUGUGAUUUAGAUGUGUCCGCUGGAUGACCCCAGCUUCCUGUCAUUCCAAGUUUUAGGUUAAAGCCUUGAAUUUGGUUGUUGAUAAGAUGCUGGGCUCGGAUCAAAUGAUCAAGCAAUUGAUGAUUUGAUUUGAAGUUCUAGCAGAACCUUGACAACUGCAUAGGUGAGUCUGGAAAAAACAAAGCAUCUUACAGAUGCAUUGUUUUGAAUCUGAUCUUCUUAAAGGGAGAUUAGAUCUAGAACAAUGAAAAUUCUUUUGAGCAAGAGCCGAGACUCUUGAAUGUUCUUUGAUUCGUGUCGAGCGAAUCAGAGUUUGAUCUUGUUUUUAGCAAUAAAAACUUGAGAAUCUGCUUUCAACGGCGGUAAGCUUUCAGGAGGUUAAUUGGUCAAGCUACAAAGGGCUCACGGCGG